rnacentral:misc_RNA from 1 species
AUCAUAGUAAUAAUGGUAUUUAUAAUGACAAGACGCAAAAUAAAAUUCCGAGCUGGAAUACCUUCACACUGUGACUUUGAUGUAAAUUUAGUAUAUUAAGGGAUUACUCUGUUAUAGUGUUGUACUAGACAAUUUGUAUGUCUCAGUUCAUACCUGAUUCUCAAUCCCUGGGUCUCUCGGCCCCGGAACAGGUGAGAGUGAAUGGGAAGGAGAUACUGUGUGUUACUACUUGUGAGAUUUAUAUCCCCUUGCCUGAUGUUGACCGCAUGAGUCAGGGUACCCUGGAGAGGGCCCGGAGGGCUCAGCGACUGCUCCACCCCCACAGUGGGCUCUGUGACCUAUACCUAUUGUGUUCACCUUUAUCUGCCAAGAGGAGAUCUGUGGCUAUGGAUUGCGAUGACUCUCAAUACUCGAUUAAGCUGUCUCUCAUCUUGAACAACAUCAUCAAGGAUACACUGCGUGUGUUUCAGAAGGGGGACUCCUGGUUCGAGUUUUGGAGUCUGCUCGGGGAUAAGAAACACAAUAGUACAGUCAAGCUCUGUCGUGAGGAUGACAGGUGGAAGGAGUUCUCCACACAGUUAACGAAAGUCAUCAACGACCUCAGAGAGUGCAUCAAAACCCAGAACAUUCCAAAUCAAGUGUUUGAGCUUGCUGCAUUUCAGUCAAAGAAAUCUAAUUGCCCUCAAAAGGCAGAAGAGCAUAAGUCAGAACCAGGGGUUGCUCAGAAGAGGUUAGAUCGAUGCUCCGACAGUGAUUUAGACAAGAAACAAAAAGAGAACAAAAAUCUCCUUCGAACACAGUCUCUUCUAGAUAACUCCAAAAAUCAUCAUCAAGAGGCAGAGACUGAAACUGGGGAAGGGAUCGGUCUUUCUGAUGAUGUGAAUGAAGAUACACGGGAAAGUUGUGAUUCUCCAUCCGAAGCAGAAAGGCAGACAGAACCUCAUGUGUUUGAACCACCAUUUUCUCCUGCUAAUUUUCAAUUGAUUGACACAAAUUCAAAAUUUUUUGGCAAACACCACGUGCAACCAAAUGUAAACGAGUUACAAAGUGAGGAUUUUCAAAAGACAAUAAGACUUAAGAACAACACCGAAACUGCCAGAUUUCUGUGUAAACAUGUGCCUUCUCCCAAGUCUCUUUAUAAAGAGUCAGAAAACGAGGAGAGUCUGGUAGAGGAAGAUUUCUCAGGUUCUGAUUCUGAUUAUGAAGAUAUGAUGGAACAAGAGAAAGCCAUACAAAGACUAGUAGAGCUGCUGCAGGCAGCCAUUAAUUCAAAUGACAAAGAGGCUGCAGCAAAGCAUGCUGGGAGUUUAGCAGUUACUGCUGCAAAAGUGACCAUUACUCUGGAACCUGGUAGCCUAAAAAAUAUCAAAGACACAGAAUUUAGCAUCAAGGUGUAUGUGGAGGAUAGAGAAGCCUCGGGGGGCUGCAUCACCCUCAAUGUCAAACCCUCUGAGACGGUCAAGGAUCUCAAACUCAGGAUGUGCUUGAAGCACAGUUUUCCAGUGGAGGUACAGAAAUGGAUCAUUGGAAAGCGUAUCCCACCGGACAAUGAGACCCUCCAGAAAGCCAGAGUGACCCCUGGUCAGGCAGUCUAUCUGUACCUCAUCUCACCCAAAUCUGUGGGCCUGACCAAGGAGAAAUUCAUGGAGGACAGACUCAAAAUGCUUCAUAACCAGUAUCCAGUCGUUCAGCAACCGAAACAAGGUCCUUCCAAUUUUGCCGAGAGUGGACGUAAGAAUUUUGAUUUGUGUUCAUCAAAAAAUUCACAAUUUUUUAUCACUGUGCUCAACUACCAUUGAUGGUCAGAAAGUGAUACCCAUGUUCUAGUAUACUCUAGUUUAUCAAAUCACGAUACCUAAAAUGAAUUAAAAGUAAGAGUAUAUGAAGGUACUGAAUAUAAUAUGUUUUGAGUACUAAAACUAAUAUCAAGGAAAUAAGAUAUUAGAUUGACUUGUUCUCCUGUAAGAAAUAUUUUUUACUUGUACAGAUAUUAAUGAUUUUUCAUUUGUACCAGUAUAUGUGUACAUAUUUUUGACCUUGAACAGCUGUAUAUGUGUACCUGUUUUUCGACCUUGAACAGCCUACAUUCCAAUGGGUACCCCGGUCACCCCUAAGACUCCACUCAGCACACAGCCCCCCUCCAGACAGAGGUCAGAGCCUUACAGCGGUAGUUCCACAGGGGGAGGGGGAAUUACCCCUAAGGUGCGUCCAACAGUGGUAACCCAGCCGUCCCUGGAGGAGUUUGAAGUAAUCCCUGCUAAUCCUGUGUUCAAGGACCCCUCUCUACCUAAAAAUAACAAGCAGACCACAAGUAUUCAGACUGGCUGGGUGUGUCCCGCUUGCACCUACAUAAACCAGCCAACUCGACCGGGAUGUGAGAUCUGUGCCACGAACAGACCGCUCAACUACCAAGUGCCUGAUGGGUACAAAAUGACCCGGGAAGAGGAGGAGAGGAUCCGAAGGGAGCGGGAGCAAGAGGAGCAGACUCAAAGGCUGGAGCGGGAGAGAGAGGAGCAGGCAAUGAGGGCGAGACAGGAGAACUUUGAGAUCCUCCGGAGGGCCGAGGACACCAGUCUGAUCGCCAACACCCACAUCUUCAAGUGCCCCAUCUGCUUUGACGACAUUUCCCCAGGGAACGGGGUGAUUCUGAGGGAGUGUCUACACUCAUUCUGCAAAGACUGUUUACAAGGAGCUGUGGUUCAUAACGAGGAGGCAGAACUAAGAUGUCCGUACCAAGACAAUGACUACGCCUGCAACGCUUCACUGCAGGACAGAGAAAUCAAAGCGCUGGUGGAGGUCAGCGUUUACGAGAAACAUCUCCAGCGCAGUCUGGUGACAGCAGAGAGCCAGGAACGGAACAGCUUCCACUGCAAGACCAAUGACUGCCCUGGCUGGUGUAUCUACGAGGACCUAGUCAACUUCUUCUCGUGUCCAGUCUGUAAGAAGGAGAACUGUCUGACCUGUAAGGCCAUUCACGAGGGCAUGAACUGCAAGGAGUACCAGGAGGACCUCCGCAUCAGGUCCUCUAACGACAAAGCUGCCAAGCAGACCAAUAAAAUGCUGAAGGAAUUGUUAAAGAAAGGUGAUGCUAUGAAGUGUCCCAAGUGUGAAGUUGUUGUUCAGAAGAAGGAUGGAUGUGAUUGGAUUAAGUGUUCCAUAUGUAAAACAGAGAUUUGCUGGGUCACAAAGGGGCCACGUUGGGGACCUUUGGGAGUUGGGGAUAUCAGUGGAGGAUGUCGAUGUAGAGUGGAAGGAAAGCCAUGCCAUGAAAACUGCAACAACUGUCACUAGGCAACCAGUAUUGUCACAAACAUAGCAGUCAUCACUAAACAACUAGUAUGAUCAGGCAACCAGUUACUGUCACUAGGCAACUAGUGAUGUCAUCACUUGGCAACUGUAUACUGUUACUAGGCAACCAGUAAUGUCACAAACAUAACAACUGUCACUAGGCAACCAUCAGCAGGCAUCCAGUGACAGAGAAACAGUUGUUUCUAGUCAACCAGUGAUGAUAAGGAAGUAAAGGCAAUUUGGUUACCGUUGUUGUCUAAAACUGGUCCGAGGCAAUCAAGCAAUAGUGCAUUCACUGAUGUCUGCAACACAUGGAGAAAGAGUUCUCUGUAAACAAAUUGUGAUGUCAUUCCCAAACAUUUGUAAUAUUGUUUGUAACUCAAUGCAAUUGUGAGGUUCUUGGCAAUCACUGGUCCUUGCAGUUCCAGCAUAUUGCUUGCAUUGAUAUGCAUUACGGAAUUUUUCUCGCUAUAAAUUUUUGUGCUAUAAAG